CAGUCACCUCUCACCGUCUUGCACGCACACCUGCGCCGCCGCGAUUGUUGGUGUCGGUGUUGCACGGCUUUGUGAAAAGCACGCCGAGGUGAAAGGUUUCAUGUGUCCUGCGGGCGCAUGUUGCUCCUCCUCUUCACCAUCACUACCACCUGCUUUCCACCUUGCGACGGCUACUCGUUGUCUCGCGUUUGCAGUGGUCUCUCCCACCGACCUCCUCAUUUCCCGAGGCACGUAAUCGCACACGAAAACAGAAACAGUGCAGGCGCCCCACGCGCACCUUUGCCCAUCCUCUUGUCUUUUUGUUCGUGUCUGUGUGUGCGUGAGGCCCGUGUAACGGCGCCAUUGGUGGUGAUUGCUCUCUUCGCUGCUCCCUCACCGCGCUCCCCCCGCGAAGCUUCUUUGCCCUGCCGACACACCGCCCCUUGCGCUUUUUCGUUUCUCUUUGUGCCACCCCACAGGCUGCCGGCAAUAUACCCGGCGCAUCUUCUGUUUCUCGCUCCCUCUUCUUUUCUCCCGUGCCGAGAUGCGCGCGUUUCCGCACUGCUUAAUCCGCAGCCAUGACUUCAGCGCCGCCGCGGCCGUCUCCACGGUGCGUGACUCACUGCUGUGUCUGCGUUCGCGACCAUGGCAUGUGCAGGUCAGCCACACCCGACAGUGGGACUGUGGCACCUGCGUACCGUUGACAUUGGCAACCUCUGCUCGUCAUGUAGCCAACGGUGGUGCUGGAACGGCGCGCGAGUUAGCCAACAACAGAGCUUUAUCUCCUUCCUUAUCAUCGGCUGCGCCGCGCUACAGAAGUCGAGAAUGCGGUUCCAUAGGUUCGCGGGCAUCGCCCCAGCCUCGCCGCGUCGCGCGUUGCCGUGCGAAGACAUCGACGUCAUCACCUGCUAAGGUGGUCGACUCUCUUGCCGCAAAGCCCCCAGCAAGUCGUGCGGCCUCCCUAGCAUCCCUGCUGCACCGCCUGGGCACUGUCGAGUCAUCCAACAUACAAGGACAGCAGCCAACGCUGCCGGUGUCCUCGGCACAGCGUGCCUCGCGCUCAUUACCGAUGCCGUUCUCAUCCACCGAAUCAGAAGCACCCGCAGCGCUUGGGUCGCCCACCCCCGUGCCGCGUCGUGGCAGUGGCGACUCCCUUGACAACAGCGCCGCAGCGAGCGAGCCGUCGCGAGCCAGCAACUCUCAGCAGAGGCACCCGAACGGAAGCGCUGAAGCGCACAGCAGUGGCGAUCCGCAGGCUCAGCAGAGCACUUCCUCUGCCAUACGGAGGCAGAAAGUGCCAAUGGUGCAGCUGCAGUCGGAUCGAAGGGGGAGGCUACGGAAACCGUCGGCUUCACGAAUGCGAUCACUACCGGGCGGAAACCUCGCAGACGCUGCAGGUGUAUCCCGCUAGCAGUGGACAGAGGGGCAGAGGAGCGAGUCGUAGCGAUGCUCCGCAGCGAUCACCAACAGGCCGACCCCGAUGCAGAGUUUGUCAUGCCGGAACCGUCGAUGCGCCAUGUUCCGCACUCACAGCUCUUGCGGUGCGUGCUCGAGCUUCCUCUGAACGGCCGCUGCCACGGUGAAGACACGGCGGAAAAGGAGGUCUUCGCCAUUGGGCAGUCGAGGAAGGCCAAAGUAGCGCGAGCGCUGUGCUUCAUGCAUGCAGAGCAACUGCUGGAUCACUACAUGAGCACCAGAGCGACACCGUUGUCGUCAAGGACAGGCGCCUCCCCAGCUCCUCCUCCGUUGGAAGAGAGAGCGCUGCCUCCUCGGCCCAAAACUCCGAAACCACAUGACUAUCGCUCGUGGGAUGAGUACGUGGACGCGAGUGCUGCAUACGUGCAGGCCCUCGCCGCCCGCGUGAGGCAGGAGGCCUGCACGCGGGAAGAGGUGCCGCGAAGCGGCCACCCCGUCGCGGACCGCGCGACAGAGCUGCUGCGUCGUCACCCGAAACGCUACUGCCGACCGACGGUGUUGCAUGAGCUGAACGGGAGCAUCCGCGAUGCCUCGAGCUUGAUGACGGUGGCGCAUCUCGAAAAGACGGUUUUUGUGGCGACCCUCGCACUUGAUCCUCAAACGGGCCUGACGGCGACAGGAGUGGCGAAGAACACGAAGACAGCGAAGCGACAGUGCGCCGCCCACGCGCUCUGCAUUCUUCGGCUGCUGCAGGAGGAUGCAGAGGGGCGACAGGGAGCGGACGGCACAGGACGCUCGCGGCGUAGAGGCGCGCAAAAAGGCACCCGCAGCAAAAAGGAUGUCUCUCACCACCCGAGUGCCCCGCUAGAGUCGGUUCUACGGCAGAUGCAGCCGGCCUAUCGAAAGCUGGUUCAGUACCAUCAUCUGCUGUUCGGCAAGGCCAGCCUGACGCCGCAAACGACCUUCACGAAGCAAUCAAGCACGACGAGCGGCAGCACCAGCACUACCGUGUAUCGUUGCCACCUUACUCUCAACGGCCUCAGUUGCGACGGCACCGGCAUCAACCGCUUCGAGGCCGAGCGCGCCGCGAUGGAGACCGCGAUGGCAAACCUGAUGCUGUACGAUAAACGAAUUCAGGCGGUGCAGGCGUUUGUAAAUGCGCAUCCGUCCAUUUCACCCGAGUCGAUCCCGUCCGCGGCGCUGCCCGCGGAGCUGGUGGUUGAGCUGCAGACCCAGCUGCGGCCAGUGACAGAGCAACAGGCAGCCACAGAGGGUGCAACAGGGAGGAGCGGGUGCGAUGACGGAUCUGACUCUGCAGGCGACUGCGGUGACCGAGCGCGGGGCAUGAGUGAGCGGACCCUGCUGCGCCUCAGCGAGCGCGCCUUUGCCACGGAUCCGUCGUAUGCUGCGCAGAUGCUGCACGACAUCCUCCACCUCCGUCGAGACCCUGUCUACCUCACCCAGUUCCAUCCCCGCCGCUCCACGCUGGCGAUGGCGACGGUGAAGGCUCAGGUGCUCGACGCCGUUCAGCGUCACCGUGUCGCUGUCGUGUGCGGCACGACAGGGUGCGGCAAGACGACGCAGGUGCCGCAGUACAUCUUGGAUUACGAGAUCGAGCACGGCCGUGGCGGAUCCUGCAACAUCCUUGUCACGCAACCCCGUCGACUGAGCGCCUUCAGCGUUGCCGAGCGCAUCGCGCAGGAGCGUCUCAGCACGGUGGGAAAGGAUGUCGGGUACGCGGUUCGGCUGGACUCACGUCCCGGGCGGCACAUCACAGUUUGCACAACAGGUGUGCUGCUGCAGAUCUUUUCCACCCACCCCGAUCUGGAGCACGUCUCACACCUCAUCAUCGACGAAGUGCACGAGCGCGACAUCAACUGUGAUGUCAUUCUAGCUCUCGUGAAGCAGCUGCUGACACGAAACUCUCGCCUUCGCGUAGUGCUCAUGAGUGCGACGAUGCAAGCCGACGUGUUCGCCCGCUACUUCGACGCCGAUACGCCCGUGGUGCAGGUCGAGGGGGCAGUGUACCCGGUGGCGAUCCGCUACCUGGAGGACAUCGCCUCUGAGGCAGCAACUGCACAAUUUUACUCGCCCGCCUUCGAUGCCGUGUCGUCCAGGGAGCAGGGGCACCAGGUCGAGCAGCAGGAAAAGACGCCGACGAAGUCCGUCUCGCUGGCGAUGCCAACGACCACCGCAUCGCAACGCGUCAACAGGCGCAAGUUACUCAAAACCGACUACAACCUUGUUGCCUACCUCGUCCACCGCGCGGUGCAGGUAGACCUUCAGAAUAACACGGAGGGAAAGUCGAUCCUGGUGUUUCUUCCAGGAUGGAAAGAGCUGACGUCUGCGAUGGCUGCGAUCAAGGAGUACCAAGGGCCGUACGCGCUUUCCGCCGCGGAAAGCCGCCUCCACAUCAUUCUCCUUCAUUCCACUGUCGACAGCGCGAAGCAACGAGAGUGCUUCAUGCCGGCCCCGUCCGGUACCGUGAAGGUGGUGCUGGCGACGAACAUCGCUGAAAGCGGCAUCACCAUCGACGACGUCGCUGUUGUCAUCGACACGGGCCUUAUCAAGACAACCACCUGGGAAAGCCGCCCCACGGCCACAUACCACCAGCAUGUCACCACAGGCACGGGCGCCUCUUCGUCGUCGGGGAGCCCGACCUUUGCGUAUGUGCCGUUGGACAAAGUCGCGGUAAACUGUGGGCCAGGAGGCGGCAGCGGCGGCGACGCCGUUGCCCCCGCGCCCGUGUUCUCGACGCAGCUUACUCUGGGCUACGCGAGUCAAGCCAACUGCACGCAGCGCAAGGGCCGUGCAGGGCGAACGCAAGGAGGCGUGUGCUACCGCCUCUUCACGAAGGAGCUGUGGGAAUCGCUGCCGGCAUUUCCAGAAGCGGACAUUCACCGCGUACCGCUGAUGCAGGUGCUGCUGAAGCUGCUCUCUCUCGGGCAUGCAAAUCCAAAGGAAACGCUGCAGACAUUUCUCGAACCCCCCUCGAACACCAAUGUGGACGCGUCCAUGGAGGUGCUUCGCGGCAUUGGUGCUAUCGGAAAGAAGGACAGGCUUACCCCGCUGGGGGAGUACCUGGCGUUGCUGCCCUGUGACCCGCGCAUUGGCAAGAUGAUUCUCGUCGGCACCGUGCUGCGCUGCCUGGAUUCGGUUCUGACGGUGGCUGCGUGCACGGACGUGUGCCCGUAUGCAACGAGCCGCGACGUUGCGGCCGAGGCGCGCAAGAAGCGCUAUCUCCUGUCUUGCGGCUCGCAGAGCGACCACAUCAGCUUCCUGAACGCGUACAACGCGUUCUGCGCCAACGGUGAAAAGGAUGACUUCGCGGCGCUCAACUUGCUCCACACCGGAAACCUUCGCGUCAUCUCCAAGUACAAGGUGCAGUACCGCGACAUCUUGCGCCACGCUGGGCUCAUCAGCCCGCAGGACGAGUUCGGAAGGGACUCCGAAAGGGUCGACAGCACCGAUGCCGUGCCGUGUCCUGAGCAUGGGCACCUUGGAAACGACGGCGGCACGGUCGAGGAUACAGCAAUACACUCGGAAGGUGGAAAGGCGACUGCCAGCGCUGUAGACUCCAGUGCACAGGGUGCGCCGGCGUCUGGAUCAGCGCCGCUUUCCUACCCCGGAACCCUCUGCGUCGAUACAAACGCUCUCUCCCGCCACAGCUUCGAUGUCGCGUUGGUGAAGGCGUGCGUCUGCGCUGCGCUCUUCCCGAACGUGGCACUGCUGCGGCCGCCUUCGAAGGCACUCUCCUCCAUGCAGCGCCUGCGUGCCGCGCGCAAAGUGGAACUACGGACAAAACACUUCGCCAGCAUCAAGCCUGCGAAAGACAGUGUGUGUCGGCGCGUUGACGGAUCCCGCGGCGACGAGGUUCCUGACCGAGAUGAAGUGCUGAGCCAGCUCACGCUAGACUCGCGUGCGGCCACCGCAGAUUCUGCGACGUCGAGCACGUCUCCAGACCGGCCGGUCCCGGCACUCUUCUACGUCUUUCAGGACGUCUUUGGGUUGAGGGAGCCGCGGCGGGACUUCCUUACCAGCCUGUCUGCUGUCAGUCUCUGGGCGUUGCUGCUCUUUGGUGCGUCUGAGUCGACGACGGAGUACAAUGCGGAGUUGUCGAUCUGUGUCGUGGACGGUUGGAUCGCGCUGCACAUCGACCGCGCCACCUACGCCCUUGUCACGCAGCUCCGCCAGUCCUUGUUCGAGUGCUUGCGAGGAAAGUACAACAACCCGCAAGACCCUCGAAACAACUCCGCACUGGAGACAGUGACGGCGGUGUGCCGGAGACUCCUGAAGGCACCGGUUCUGGAAAUGGCGGCGGCGAAGUCGCCGGACACCGCAGGCAGCGCAGCAGCAGGGCGGCAGCAGUCUCCAUGGCAGCUGGUCGACAUGGGCUCUAUUGUCGACCCUCUUGUGCACCUGCGGCACGGCGACUUUGGCGAUGGCAGGGCGGCCGCUGUGGCUGGGGAGGAUGCGCUGCUGGACCUAGACAGUGAUGAUGACGGAGAUGAUGAUGAAGACCUUCCCAACUUCAACCCUGUAGACGGGGACGACGACGAUGAUGACAAGAGUUCCACGGCGCAUGGAGGUCGGAUAAAAUGACAGACUCGCGCAGACGCGCCUGCGCGUGGUUGGAUGCUGAGCCUCCUCUUUUCGCCGGUUUUCUAACAUGACAAAUCGGCGCCGCUGCUUGUGGAAACUUCUCCCACCCCCACCCCACCCCCAAUACCCGUGGCAGUACGCUGACGCCGAUACACCGGCGCGUGUGCAUGCUUGUAUAGGUGCUCCGUCUCCCGCAGUAAUGCGCACACACACACACACAAAAGGAAAAGCAAAGAAGACAACUUUGGCGCAUUCGUGCCGUCACCUUGAUCUUCGCGAGCUUUCACGAUGACGACCACGACCACAUCUCUGUCCUGGCAAGCUACUCCUCAUGGCAUUGUGGUGAGAACGGAAAGGGAGACGAGGAGAGGACGGGUGCGACUCUGGGAACAGAUGACUUCACACUCUUGAUAACGAAUCAGGCACAAGGCGGGUCAAGAGAGCGUAAAGGGGUGCCUGGCAUGAGUCGCGCUCACGUCAUUCUCUUGUCAUGUGGAAGAGAGUAAUAUCGUCCGCUGUCUGAACUCUCUACACCAAAAUGUGGGUGCCAAUAUCCCGGUAGCGAUGCAUACUGGCCAGCUUCUCUCUCCUUGCCUUUUUGCUACCACGCAUUGGUGGUGGAGAGAGAGGAUGCAUGCACGUGCACGUGUAUGUGCAUGACGGGCAGGUGAUGAUGGCUUGAUGCCCUUUCCUGCCGCAUCUCGCGCUCCUUCCCUCCCCCAUCCCUUUCUCUCUCUCUCUCAAG
rnacentral:misc_RNA from 1 species